ensembl:snRNA U6 U6 spliceosomal RNA
AUGCUCGCUUCAGCAGUACACAUAUUAAAACUGGAACAGUACAGAGAAGAUUAACAUGGCUCCUGCACUAGAAUAACAUGCAAAUUCAUGAAGCAUUCCAUAUAUAC